AUGACUUGAAUCGAAAUUUCCCCGAUGCUUUUGAAUAUAAUAAUGUCUCAAGGCAGCCUGAAACUGUGGCAGUCAUGAAGUGGCUGAAAACAGAGACGUUUGUCCUCUCUGCAAACCUCCAUGGUGGUGCCCUCGUGGCCAGUUACCCAUUUGAUAAUGGCGUUCAAGCAACUGGGGCAUUAUACUCCCGAAGCUUAACACCUGAUGAUGAUGUUUUUCAAUAUCUUGCACAUACCUACGCUUCAAGAAAUCCCAACAUGAAGAAAGGAGACGAGUGUAAAAACAAAAUGAACUUUCCUAAUGGUGUUACAAAUGGAUACUCUUGGUAUCCACUCCAAGGUGGAAUGCAAGAUUACAACUACAUCUGGGCCCAGUGUUUUGAAAUUACGUUGGAGCUGUCAUGCUGUAAAUAUCCUCGUGAGGAGAAGCUUCCAUCCUUUUGGAAUAAUAACAAAGCCUCAUUAAUGGAAUAUAUAAAGCAGGUGCACCUAGGUUUGUAAAAUUUUCUUAUUAAUUCCCUAUUAAUACAAAAUAGAGCAUCUGGCAAGACCUCUGGGUUGACU
rnacentral:sRNA from 1 species